AGUCCUGCCUGCCCAGUGACUAGAAGUUAAACGGCCGCGGUAUCUUGACCGUGCGAAGGUAGCAUAAUCACUUGUCUCCUAAAUAGAGACUGGUAUGAAUGGCAAGACGGAACUUAACUGUCUCCCCCUUUUUAGCCCGAAUUUCACAAUCCCGUGAAGAGGCGGGAAUAUACUCGUAAGACGAGAAGACCCUGUCGAGCUGAAGUAAAAUUUUGGACACUAUUAGUCUUUAAACUUAACUAACGUAUUAAAAUUAGAAAACGAAAGAUAUAGUCGACCUAAAGGAACUUUGAUUGGGGCAAUCCCGGAGAAAGAAAAUCCUCCGUUACUACAAGGGCCUAUAUAAAGCCUUAAGAAAAAAGAAACAUUUUUCUGAAAACAUCAAUGAAGUAAUGAUCCACUCUUAGUGAUCAAAAGAACAAGUUACCGCAGGGAUAACAGCGUUAUCUUCUUUGAGAGUUCACAUUGACGAGAAGGUUUGCGACCUCGAUGUUGGAUCGGGACAUCCUAAGGGUGCAGAAGCUUUUAAGGGUUGGUCUGUUCGACCAUUAAAGUCCU
rnacentral:rRNA from 1 species